GAUAACAUUAAUCCCAUAACUUGGCGCUUUAGAGAAAUGUCAUUGAAUUAUAGGUAUAAAUACUUCCCUAAAAUAUUCCCCUUUCCACGAUCUCUCAUCCACCAAACAUUCCCUCUACCAUUUCAAACCCCCCCAAAUGCUCAUACCAAAUAAACCUGUGUACAAAACCGAAUAGGAUCUCUCAUCCACCAAACACAUCCUUCUUAUUACUUUCCUAAAAUCCCCUUUAUCACUGUUACUGUUACCAUCAUAGAGAGAAAACUUCAAUCUUGAUAUCGAUGAUGAAACCCUAGAUUCUCUUGAUGUUUUCCCGACUUGGUCCUUCUCGUGGAAGAAGUUGUGGCUAUUCACGGACGCGAGUACUCCAUUUCUUGAUCCUGGAAACCUAGAAAAGGAUCUUGAGGCUAGAGCCACUAUAGGAUAUUCAUUGUUAUGGUUAUUGAUGUGGGUAAUGGUUAUGGGGUUCUUGAUCCAGUUAUUGUCAGCGAGAAUUGGGGUGGCCAUGGGCCAUCAUCUUGCUCAGAUCUGUAAUGAAAGAGUAUCACAUGGGUCGUUUUUGUCAUGGGUUUUUGCCUAGAUUGAGGCUAAUAUCUAGGAGCUAAUUCUUAGCCGUGGGUUUUUGCCGUUUUGGGCUGGAGUUGUAAUUUCUGCAUUCAAUUGGCUAUCAAUGAUCAUGGAUCAUAUAUAAUGGGGUUUCAGUGAGCAACAGAGAUGGGAUGCAAUCAGGAGAAUCUAAGUUUUGCUAUGAUGAAGAAAAGACACAGGUAUUUUGUGAUUUUGUUGUGGAUUAGAUAAGGCCUAGCACACUACAGAGAACAAUUUUAAUUGUAAGUCCAAUUGUUGAAUUCCUAAAUGUUGGUGUGAAUCCCAUACAAUGUUAAUGAUUUCUUUCACCUCUUAGCUUUUGAAUUUGGCAAGAUUUGGUGGUUAACCAGUGACUUGAAAGAGGAGGGUUGUUGGAGGCUACACAAGCAUGAACUUCGUGGAAAGAUUGCAAGAGAAACUGGUUAGCCAAAAGAAGAUAACCAUUGUGUUGAAGGAGGUGAUCUUGAAAACCAUGAAGAUUACAUCAAUAAAGUUAUUUGGAGGUUGAACUAUAUUUUUUGUAAAAUAUAGAUGUUAAUAGUUGCACAGAUAUUUGUUUUUUUAUUGAAAGAAUUAGAAAUUGUUAUUCAAAUAUUUUGAUAUAAUUAACAAAUUUGUAUGUAAUUAUCA